AGCUAGUUGACGAGUCCCAAAUGAGACGAAACACGUGUUCUUGAU
rfam:Schistosoma curassoni strain Dakar, Senegal genome assembly, scaffold: SCTD_scaffold0003071